GGAUGGUAAUUCAAGCCAAAAUCAUAAUCUUUUAAUAACUCAAGCCAUCUCCUCUGCCUCAUGUUCAAUUCUUUUUGGUCAAACAGAUACUUCAAACUUUUGUGGUCACUAAACACUUCAAAUCUUGAACCAUACAAAUAGUGUCUCCAAAUCUUCAAAACAAACACCACCGCAGCCAGCUCUAAAUCAUGCGUAGGAUAAUUCUUUUCAUGAACCCUCAGCUGCCUAGAAGCAUAAGCUACCACCUUUCCAUCUUGCAUCAACACACCUCCUAAACCAAACUUGGAAGCAUC
rnacentral:lncRNA from 1 species